rnacentral:rRNA from 1 species
CCUACGGGGGGCAGCAGUGAGGAAUAUUGGUCAAUGGACGCAAGUCUGAACCAGCCAUGCCGCGUGCAGGAAGACGGCUCUAUGAGUUGUAAACUGCUUUUGUACGAGGGUAAACGCAGAUACGCGUAUCUGUCUGAAAGUAUCGUACGAAUAAGGAUCGGCUAACUCCGUGCCAGCAGCCGCGGUAAUACGGAGGAUUCAAGCGUUAUCCGGAUUUAUUGGGUUUAAAGGGUGCGUAGGCGGUCGGUUAAGUUAGAGGUGAAAGCCCGAGGCUCAACUUCGGAAUUGCCGCUGAUACUGGUCGGCUAGAGAGUAGUUGAGGUAGGCGGAAUGUAUGGUGUAGCGGUGAAAUGCUUAGAGAUCAUACAGAACACCGAUUGCGAAGGCAGCUUACCAAGCUACUUCUGACGCUGAGGCACGAAAGCGUGGGGAGCAAACAGGAUUAGAUACCCGGGUAGUC